GAUGAACGCUAGCUACAGGCUUAACACAUGCAAGUCGAGGGGCAGCACAGAGAUAGCUUGCUAUCUUGGGUGGCGACCGGCGCACGGGUGAGUAACGCGUAUCCAACCUGCCCAUUACUCGGGGAUAGCCUUGCGAAAGUAAGAUUAAUACCCGAUGUUGUUUGAUUGCCGCAUGACGAUCAAACCAAAGAUUUAUUGGUAAUGGAUGGGGAUGCGUGACAUUAGGUAGUAGGUGAGGUAACGGCUCACCUAGCCGACGAUGUCUAGGGGUUCUGAGAGGAAGGUCCCCCACACUGGAACUGAGACACGGUCCAGACUCCUACGGGAGGCAGCAGUGAGGAAUAUUGGUCAAUGGACGAGAGUCUGAACCAGCCAAGUAGCGUGCAGGACGACGGCCCUCUGGGUUGUAAACUGCUUUUAGUUGGGAAUAAAAAGAGGGACGUGUCCCUAAUUGUAUGUACCAUCAGAAAAAGGACCGGCUAAUUCCGUGCCAGCAGCCGCGGUAAUAC
rnacentral:rRNA from 1 species